rnacentral:rRNA from 1 species
AUUGAACGCUGGCGGCGGGCCUAACACAUGCAAGUCGGGCGGAUGAAGGGAGCUUGCUCCUGGAUUCAGCGGCGGACGGGUGAGUAAUGCCUAGGAAUCUGCCUGGUAGUGGGGGAUAACGUCCGGAAACGGGCGCUAAUACCGCAUACGUCCUGAGGGAGAAAGUGGGGGAUCUUCGGACCUCACGCUAUCAGAUGAGCCUAGGUCGGAUUAGCUAGUUGGUGGGGUAAAGGCCUACCAAGGCGACGAUCCGUAACUGGUCUGAGAGGAUGAUCAGUCACACUGGAACUGAGACACGGUCCAGACUCCUACGGGAGGCAGCAGUGGGGAAUAUUGGACAAUGGGCGAAAGCCUGAUCCAGCCAUGCCGCGUGUGUGAAGAAGGUCUUCGGAUUGUAAAGCACUUUAAGUUGGGAGGAAGGGCAGUAAGUUAAUACCUUGCUGUUUUGACGUUACCAACAGAAUAAGCACCGGCUAACUUCGUG